UAAUUUCUAUACAAAUAUAUUUUUACUAAUUUAAUGAAAUGAUAGAAUUUUUUAAAAACGAUCCCUGACAGGCAAGUUUUUCAAACGUUACUGUUUCGUUGUUUUUAGUUCCUUGUACAUCAGGCAAAGUAAUAAAUGCAUUUGACCUAGGUUCAACUUGUUUACCAUCAUAUACACCAUCAUAUUUUAGAGAACGUGUUGAAUAUGAAUCCUCAGGUAUGCCUAUAAAAAAGUUAUUAUAUUUUCCGUUCAAUAAAUUUAAUUUUGUUCAACAGAAGAAUCUGAGUUGGAAGGAAUUUCCAAGCUAGACGAUGACUCGCUUCUUCAAUUUCCUAGUGCUUGCAGUGUAAAAAUACCAGAACCGUCCAGUUCUUAUAGUGAACCCAUUCAGUACGAUUAAUAUGUUCCUAGUGCUUGCCGUGUUAAGUAUGAUUUGAUAGAAGAUACUGAUUUAGUAGGUAUAUCAAUAUUGCCUGAUGAUUCAGUCAUUCAACGUA